rnacentral:rRNA from 1 species
UUUAUGGAGAGUUUGAUCCUGGCUCAGGAUGAACGCUGGCGGCGUGCCUAAUACAUGCAAGUCGAGCGAACGGACGAGAAGCUUGCUUCUCUGAUGUUAGCGGCGGACGGGGGGGU